CCAACCUGUGACACUCAACCUGGGGGAUCUUUUGUUUUUUUUGAAAGAAAAGUGCCGCCAGGUUUUGAGUGUUACUGAUUGA
rnacentral:pre_miRNA from 1 species